rnacentral:pre_miRNA from 1 species
GGGAAAGAGAGUGAAGGAGUUUCCCUCAGCCCAUUCAUGGAUAUAAUGAAAGAUUGGGUUGCUGAAUUAACUGAUUCAUUCAUACAAUAGUAUUCAAUUAGGGUAAUAUUGUGUGAAUGAAGAGAGUAUAGUAUCUAUAUUGGAACCCCCUCUUUCUCUGUGCUUGGACUGAAGGGAGCUCCUUCUUUUUCUGUUCCC